UGGAGUAUAGGUCAGUGGUAGAAUGCAAGCUUAGCAUGCAUGAAGUUCUGGGUUCUAUCCCCAGUACUUCCA
rnacentral:tRNA from 1 species